rnacentral:rRNA from 1 species
UACGGAGGGAGCUAGCGUUAUUCGGAAUUACUGGGCGUAAAGCGCACGUAGGCGGCUUUGUAAGUUAGAGGUGAAAGCCUGGAGCUCAACUCCAGAAUUGCCUUUAAGACUGCAUCGCUUGAAUCAGGAGAGGUGAGUGGAAUUCCGAGUGUAGAGGUGAAAUUCGUAGAUAUUCGGAAGAACACCAGUGGCGAAGGCGGCUCACUGGACUGGUAUUGACGCUGAUGUGCGAAAGCGUGGGGAGCAAACAGG